ncrna:unclassified sequences DTF805b RNA
AUGACGGGUUUCGAAAAGUCAUAAUAGAGUAGGAA